CUUUGAGUUGUCCUUGAGUGAAUGCAGUCAGCUGAACCCCUGCAGCAAGGCUGAAGAGUUUGGUGGCACACUCACUGCAUUGGUAUUUAAGGAAGGCAGUACUACAUGUGAAAUUCAUUUUUUGGAGGGUUUUGGAUGGAAUGUCAAGUAGGCGAUCUGAAGCAUUUGGUGCAUUUGUUCCAGUCUGUCAUAGAGUACUAGACUGCAUUAGAGAAUUUAGCCAACAAAAUUUGAGAUUUACAUGUGCAAUAAAGUUGUGAGAAGGGUAAAAAAUAGAGAAGAUGGACUGCAUUCCAAGAGUCCAAGUCAGGAAGACAAUUCCCUUCUCUUCAAGCUGCGCAAUGGGAAAAUCCACAACAUGAGGAAGGAACUCUGCCAUCAGUGAAAGGUGGAAGAGCAGCUCCUGGCUUGAGACGUCAGAGGAGUACAGAUAGGAGUAAUCAAAUAAUGUGUGGUGUUUUAUUUUAAUAUCCUGAGUUUUUAUGGAGUUGGAAAACAACAUCAAAAUUUCCAGGAUUUUAGCUGUAAAAAAAUCCUUUAGUAAAAUGUUAGUAAAAUAAAUAAUAUCAAAUAAUGGGUAAAAAUACUGCAAUUUAAAAAUUGUGCAUACUCUGAAUGUUAGAACAAUCCUCAGCACAUCUUUGGGCCAGGACAAAUAGUUUUCUUCCAAGGACAGUGUGGGAACAAGGCAUGGGGCAGGUAUCCUUCCAUACCAAUGGUUUUCAUGUGCAAACUGUCAUGGAUGCGAAAGCACUAUUAAAUGUAGCCCACAGUAUAUAGUCAAUGUGUGCAGCUCUGUUCAGGGCUAGAGAGCCUGCCCUGGGAGUAUUAAUAACUUAGAUGUCUCCAGAGCUUUCCUGUGAGCAGAAAAAUGGGGCAGGGUGACACUGAAAGAGCAAGGUUCUGUGCUGAGAAUCCUCUCUCCCCUCCUGUUCAUUGGUGCCUCUGCAUCGAGUUUGCUCUCUGCUGUGCUGUGGACAAACAGCCCAUGUUACCUUUACACAAAUGCUUAGACACUUGAGACAGGAAACUUUAAAAUAAAAUAGUAGAAGCAGAGUAGAACAGAUGAGUCUUACAUUGCUUAGUGUGUAGUGGUUAUGAUCUUUAUUAUUUUAUUUUCUGAAAAUAAGUGGUACCAUAAUUGUGCAUGAAGUAGCAAGAAUUACUGAUGUUAUACCUGCUGAUAACCAUCACAGGGAAUAAACUGACUCUAAUCCUCUGUAAAUCUUUAUUCAUACAAUGUAUUUUCUGGACUAUUAAAAAAAAAUACAGAUUGAUUUGGAUCAGGACAAGGUAUAUGUUUCAAA